GCUUUGCGAUGGAUGACUAGGGUCUUGUAUCGAUGAAGAACGCAGUUAACCGCGAUAGUUAAUGUGACUCGCAACUCCCGUGAAUCAUCGAGACUUUGAACACACACGAAACCCUUGCUUCUUUCGAGUGGUAAGGGUACUUGCUUGUGAGUGUC
rnacentral:rRNA from 1 species